rnacentral:rRNA from 1 species
AAUAAACGUUGGCGGUGCGCCUUAUGCAUGCAAGUCGAACGGGGUUACAGUUUUCGGAUUGUAACCUAGUGGCGGACGGCUGAGUAACGCGUAAGUAACCUGCCUUAGAGUGGGAAAUAACCUGCCGAAAGGCAAGCUAAUGUCCCAUGUGGUAACGAAGCAAAUGCUUUGUUAUUAAAGCCUUAGGGUGCUCGAAGAGGGACUUGCGUCUGAUUAGCUAGUUGGUAGGGUAAUGGCCUACCAAGGCGAUGAUCGGUAGCUGGUCUGAGAGGAUGGUCAGCCAGAUGGGGACUGAGACACGGCCCCAACACCUACGGGUGGCAG